ACGCACGCUGGCGGCGUGCUUAACACAUGCAAGUCGAACGGUGAAGGGACCGGUUUUUGCUGGUUCUGGAUGAGUGGCGAACGGGUGAGUAACACGUGAGUAACCUGCCCCCUUCUUCUGGAUAACCGCAUGAAAGUGUGGCUAAUACGGGAUAUUCUGCGCCUGCUGCAUGGUGGGUGUGGGAAAGAUAUUGUUUCGGUGGGGGAUGGGCUCGCGGCCUAUCAGCUUGUUGGUGGGGUGAUGGCCUACCAAGGCGGUGACGGGUAGCCGGCCUGAGAGGGUGGACGGUCACACUGGGACUGAGACACGGCCCAGACUCCUACGGGAGGCAGCAGUGGGGAAUAUUGCACAAUGGGCGCAAGCCUGAUGCAGCGACGCCGCGUGAGGGAUGGAGGCCUUCGGGUUGUAAACCUCUUUCGCCAGUGAAGCAGGCCUGUCCCUUUUGUGGGUGGGUUGACGGUAGCUGGAUAAGAAGCGCCGGCUAACUACGUG
rnacentral:rRNA from 1 species